rnacentral:rRNA from 1 species
GGCAGCUCAAGUGGUCGUCGCUUUUAUUGGGCCUAAAACGUCCGUAGCCUGUUUGGUAAAUCUGUGGGUAAAUCAACGAGCUUAACUCGUUGAAUUCUGCAGAGACUGCCAGACUAGGGACCGGGAGAGGUAUGAGGUACUCUGGGGGUAGGGGUAAAAUCCUGUCAUCCUCAGAGGACCACCUGUUGCGAAGGCGUCAUACUGGAACGGAUCCGACGGUCAGGGACGAAGCCUAGGGGCACGAACCGG